ACGUGGACGAACGGCGCCUCAGCCGCACGCACGACCUAUUUUUUUACUCAGCUCAAACUGUGGCACAUACCACGUACAUCCAACCAACUCAGAUCGGCCUCUAUUUAUAGGCUGACACACACGCGACCUCCCCUAUUCUGAAACAUGCUAACUAAUCAUAGAGUUUAUCCGGCGAGCUAACAAGAUAUCCCUCUAACUAACUGCAUGUAUGACUAUCCUAUCACGACAUCAAGCUACCUAACCAACUAACCACCUGGACUAAGCACUACGCGUUGGACUAACCAACUCGCCAUGGGCACGAGUGCACGCGCACGCACGUACACCAUCGUGACACACAUGCACACACGUACUAUGGGUGCAUACCCAUCACGGUUUAUUUCUAACAUUCUCCCCCAAAACUGUGACUCGUCGUCGCCGGAGUUAUUGCCGCUCCCAUCAUUGUCGUCGUCAUGGCCGCCGCUGCGGCCUCCGUCACGCUUGACGCAACCUCCAUGCUCUUCCUCGGCGACACACGUCGAGCUCCUUGUCCGCCGGUGACACACGCCUGACGUUCUGGCGACAUACGCCGUCGCUGCCGUCGCGCUUUGAACACUUGACAUCACCGCGCUGCCGCAAGUCUCAAUGCAUGACUGCGCCAACACGGUCGUCGUUUCUCGGCGGCCACGCUAUCCACGCCGCCGUGCAGCGCCGCCACGCCGCCGCGCCGUGUCGUGCCUUCGCGAACUCCGCGCCACCAUGCAGUACUUCCGGGCCUCCUCGCCGCACGCGGCAUACUCACCGCGGAUCGACAAGGCUCUGAUACCAAUUGUUGGGACAAACCCGGUCCGGUGACGAACGCCGAGUAGGCUCCGGCGGCACGAACGGCAGACGAACCUCUCUCUCUUUCACCCGCUCGAACAGAGGUAGAAGAAGGAGUACAACACAUUGGAUUUUUCAGGCGACGAACACCAUGCCGCACGAACGGCGCCACGCCGACGAACGACGCCUCGGCCGCACGCACCACCUAUUUUUUUUACUCAGCUCAAAUUGUGGCACAUACUACGUACAUCCAACCAACUCAGAUCAGCCUCUAUUUAUAGGCUGACACACACGCCACCUCCCCUAUUUUGAUGCAUGCUAACUAACCAUAGAGUUUAUCCGGCCAGCUAACAACUUAUCCCUCUAACUAACUGCAUGCAUGACUAUCCUAUCACGACAUGAAGCUAGCUAACCAACUAACCACCUGGACUAAGCACUACGCGUUGGACUAACCAACUCGCCAUGGCCACGAGUGCACGCGCAUGCAAGUACACCAUCGUGACACACAUGCACACACGUACUCUAGGUCCAUACCCAUCACGGUUUAUUUCUAACAUUCCCCCCCUAAACCGUGACUCGUUGUCGCCGGAGUUGUUGCCACUCCCAUCGUUGUCGUCGUCAUGGCCGCCGCUGCGGCCACCGUCACGCUUGACGCAACCUCCAUGCUCUUCCUCGGCGACACACGUCGAGCUCCUUGUCCGCCAUUGACACACGCCUGACGUUCUGGCGACAUACGUCGUCGCUGUCGUCACGCUCGAACGCCUGACAUGACCGCGCCGCCGCGCGUCUCAAUGCAUGACUGCGCCAAC
rnacentral:lncRNA from 1 species